UACAACUCUUGCUACUAAAAUAAAUGUGGCUUGCUGAAUAUUAAAAGAAGUUUGUGCCCCAAGUCACAAAGUCUUUUAGAGAGGCUAUAAGAUUUGCAUGCUUUCCAUGUACAGGAGUAUACAUGAUACAAUCUAUCCCUUGACAAAUAUGAUGUUUUAAUAUAUUACCUGUUUUAAAAUAUUUGAGAUGCUUGCUGUUACAGCAAUGUUAUUUAAACAUUUUUUUAGAAAGUUCAAUUAAAAUACAUGUCUACUGGCUUUAGGAAUACAUAUUUUGGGAAGAAAUGUGAAAUCAAAGCAUAGCGGAAUCUUCUAACAACGUGGUAGUGCCAAUGUGUAAAGUUAUUUAUCAUGGUCUUUGUUUUUCUUUUUAAAAACUGCAAUAGGAGGAGCUAAAGUCUCUUGAGCAAAUGCAUUUGUCCCUGAGAGCCCUCCAUCAAAUGGUUGCCUCCUGUAAUGAGACCAUCAAUUCUCUCGUCCAGAACAACCACACAUUAACAGACCUGAAUAAAGGCUGGCAGAUUUUCUUCACUGGACAAAGGGAAGAUGAAAAAUAAUUCCAAAUCCUUGAUAUAUUUUGAAUUUGGGCAGGGUGGGGGAAGCACUAGCUGGAAAUCAAAUAAUCCUGAAGUGAAUUCUUGCGAACCCCUCACAGCAUUGUUUCAGAGAUUCAGUUGGAGACAACGAUCACUGGGCCUGCAG